rnacentral:rRNA from 1 species
UUGAACGCUGGCGGCAUGCCUUACACAUGCAAGUCGAGCGGCAGCGCGGGGGCAACCCUGGCGGCGAGCGGCGAACGGGUGAGUAACAUAUCGGAACGUACCCUAUCGCGGGGGAUAACACAUCGAAAGAUGUGCUAAUACCGCAUACGAACUGCGGGUGAAAGCAGGGGAUCGCAAGACCUUGCGCUACAGGAGCGGCCGAUGUCGGAUUAGCUAGUUGGUGAGGUAAAGGCCCACCAAGGCGACGAUCCGUAGCUGGUCUGAGAGGACGACCAGCCACACUGGAACUGAGACACGGUCCAGACUCCUACGGGAGGCAGCAGUGGGGAAUUUUGGACAAUGGGGGCAACCCUGAUCCAGCCAUGCCGCGUGAGUGAAGAAGGCCUUCGGGUUGUAAAGCUCUUUCGGCAGGAACGAAACGGUUAGCGCUAACAUCGCGUGCUAAUGACGGUACCUGAAGAAGAAGCACCGGCUAACUACGU